CCUACGGGAGGCAGCAGUGAGGAAUAUUGGUCAAUGGGCGAGAGCCUGAACCAGCCAAGUCGCGUGAAGGAUGAAGGAUCUAUGGUUUGUAAACUUCUUUUAUAUGGGACUAAAGUGAGGAACGUGUGCCUUUCUGUAUGUACCAUAUGAAUAAGCAUCGGCUAACUCCGUGCCAGCAGCCGCGGUAAUACGGAGGAUGCGAGCGUUAUCCGGAUUUAUUGGGUUUAAAGGGUGCGUAGGUGGUUAGUUAAGUCAGCGGUGAAAGUUUGUGGCUCAACCGUGAAAUUGCCGUUGAGAUUGGUUGGCUUGAGUAUAGUUGAGGUGGGCGGAAUGCGUGGUGUAGCGGUGGAAUGCAUAGAUAUCGCGCAGAACUCCGAUUGCGAAGGCAGCUUACUAGGCUAUAACUGACGCUGAGGCGCGAAAGCGUGGGGAUCAAACAGGAUUAGAUACCCUUGUAGUC
rnacentral:rRNA from 1 species